rnacentral:lncRNA from 1 species
CUCGCCUAAUGACUUGGCAUUCAUGACAGCAGGUGUUCAUGAAGGGAGUUCAGGAAGUUGAGGAACCCUUCCUCAAAGGGGUAUGGGGAACAGAGUUCAUUCACCAUGUUGUUCUCUUUCUUUUGACAGGUCCUUUGCUAUCCUUUGAGCAUGAGCCAGACCUCUGAGAAUACCAAGAAGAAAAAGAAUAAUUACAAUGAGUAUUUCAGAGAUUCUGCUGUCAGAUGCUUUUCUGCUUUUACACGGGCUCAAUCCUGACACGACUGACUUCAGUAAAGCAAUCCCUUUCAGGUGUGAUUGCAGAAGGGCUCAGUGCUGGUCUGAAACCUCAAGUUACAGAAGCCGAGUGGGAAGAGAGAAAGAGUUAAAUGGAUGGUGAGUGCUUUUCAAAGCCCACAUAUGGGCCCCUAAUGGGACUUGUGUACAUGUGGGUGGGCUCUAACCUAGGAGUUUAAUGUUCAGCUGGAAAAUCGAUGCUCAUUAUCCAUGGUCCUCCCUACCCUAAGCC